CUCCUUUUCAGUAUAAAAUAAGGACUUACUCAAAUUCUGAUCUCGAACUGGAACUGAAACUUGGUGAUUUGAAGAAGUCAAAACAAUGGCAGGGCUAUUUUUCCUCUGCACCCAUAUCACCCACAUGCCUCUUGAUUUUUCCAGGAGCAGAGGUCUCUUGACGGCCCGUCUAGAGGUCAGUGGUCCAAGGACUGCCUGUACAUUAUUAUGGAAUAACAUCUACCAGAGAAAGCCCAGUAACAGAGGUGGUGGAGCAGACUCUGUGAUGGAAGACGUAAUGGGAAAGGGUCAGAAAUUGGAGCUUACAGCACUUUGAAAACUGUGAUAAUCGGAUCCACAAUCAAAGGCCACAAAAGGUAACUAUUGCCAACUCUGAAAAACAAUUAAGAU
rnacentral:lncRNA from 1 species